ACUAUCCAGAUGAACCUGAAGCAACCUCGCUUACAACUUGAAGUUCUGGAGUUUCCCCCAAACCAAAGAGGAGAAAGCUGAGCUUACUGUUGGGUUUCAGAAAAAUCUGCUGCCGAGUGUAACAACUAGCAAUAUGCAAAUCACUAAGAAAUUCAGCCAAAGGUGUACAGAGAACAGAAGUCAGCCAGAUGAGUUGUAAAUGUAAGUUCAUCCAAGAUGGUUUAAUAAGGUAUGUGACCAUGUUUUCCUGGAUUUUAUCUAAAUAGCAGUCUUUACAAAAAGGGUAAGUGGAAACACUAAAAAGGUUUGUUAAAACUGUAAAAACUUUUUACCUCAGAGAAAACAUGACUGAAGGCAGCAGUGGAAAUAUGGGAGCACCAAUGUGACAAAUGGCUGAAUGUGUUAAUGACGCAGACAAGAAAAUUGCCAACUGGUGAAAUUUGAAGUGGACUUCUACAAACAGUUCUCUACAGUGUUCCACAGGAUUAUGUUCACAUGUCAUGUAAAUCAGUUAGGAGGACUUUCAGUGCAAUUUUAGUGAUCUCUAGUUAAGGACACAGGUACCAUGUAAAGACUUCAGUGAUGAAAUUCACUUUGUGUAUUGGUUUCAUUCUUAAUUUGAAAUCCUGAAGGUUGGGCUAUGCUCAUUUUUAUUUUAUAAUGGUAGAACCGUGAAUGUUUUUUAUUGCUACAGACAUAUUUUCAGAGCCAUCAGCAGUCUUAGAUGGGAAAAGACUGGAGAUCCAAAUGUGCAGAGUGAGGUGAGAGAUCCCACUGAGGGUACGUGAUAUAUUGCAGUGUUCUUGGGGAGAAGAAGCAGGUUUGGCAGCAGGUCAGCAGCUGAUCAAAAUGCUUACAUUUACUUGAACAUUAUAAGGGAAUUGUUCUAGGAGACAAAUCGUGUCAUGGCACAGAGCUUACAACUAUUGGCGUGAGCUGUUACUACUUUAUGAAUAGUAGCGUGUGUUAAUGAAACAAUGAACCUCUAAUUGUUGAACUAGCUUAAGUAUGGUGUGAGAGGACUUUAUAUUUCUUUGUGUGAGCGCUUCUCUGAACUCUUGGAAAACACACCUCUCGUCACUUAGCUAAUCAUCUGAUGUUAAGAAGAUAGGAGGAACUGAACUUUGAAUUAUAAUGAAUAGUAUGCAAAGGAGGAGUUGAAAAGAGUCCCUCCGAAUCCUUGGUUGGAAUGAGAAGGU
rnacentral:lncRNA from 1 species